CAGAAACCAUUGGGGUGGGAAGAGGGCUGGGCUGUGGGCUUCUUAUUCAUACCUGUGUCCCGGUACCUAGUAGUGCCUGGCAUACAGUCAAUGCCCAAUACAUAAUAGAUGAUGGCUGGCUGGAUGAUGGAUGGGUAGAUGAAUGCGUGGGUAGAUGAAGAAUGCGUGGGUGGAUGAUGGGUGAUGAAUGGACCGAUGAUGGAUGGAUGAAUGUACAGAUGAUGGAUGGGUAGAUGAAGAAUGCGUGGGUGGAUGAGGGGUGGAUGAAUGUCUAGAUGAUGGAUGGGUGGGUGGAUAACUAGAUGGACGGAUGGGUGAUGGAUGGGUAGAUGAUGAAUGCAUGGGUGGAUGAUGGGUGGAUGAAUGUACAGAUGAUGGAUGGGUGGGUGGAUGACUAGAUGGACGGAUGGGUGAUGGAUGGGUAGAUGAUGAAUGCAUGGGUGGAUGAUGGGUGGAUGGAUGGACGGAUGAUGGGUGGAUGAAUGUACAGAUGAUGGAUGGGUGGGUGCAUGGGUGGAUGAGUAGAUGGAUGGAUGGGUGGGUCAUGGAUAGAUGGGUGAUGAUGAUGGAUGACAGAGGGAUGGUGGGAUUGGUGUGAGGGGGAACAUGUGAAGGAUGGAUGGAUGCCUGGGAGAAUGAUAGAGGGAUGGAUGGGUGAAUGGGUGGGUAUAUGAUAGAGGAAUGGAUAGGUGGAGGGUGGAUGAUGGCUAGAUGGGUGCAUGGAUGGAUAGAUGGAUGGAUGAACCUCCAACCCCGAG
rnacentral:lncRNA from 1 species